rnacentral:rRNA from 1 species
ACCAGACUUGGGCCCGGUGAAUCAUCCAGCGUUCUCGCUGGUGCACUUUGCCGGGCACAGGCCAGCAUCAGUUUGGCUUGGGGGAUAAAGGCCUUGGGAAUGUAGCUUCUUUCGGGGAGUGUUAUAGCCCUCGGUGCAAUGCCGCCUGCCUGGACCGAGGACCGCGCUUCGGCUAGGAUGCUGGCGUAAUGGUUGUAAGCGA